CAGGGCUCGCUGGCUUUAUCUUUUCUUUAUUUUAUUUGGUUGGCAAGUGACGAAAAAGGGUAUGGCAGAGAAGAACUGAAGAACUCGUGAACCCCCUACAAAGGUUAAACAAGGAGAGAAGUGUGAAAAAUAUAUAUAUUAAUUAUAAAUCAACCAAAGGAAAAGAGACACCACAAAAGCAAAAGCAAAAGCAAAAGCAAAGGAAAGCUGUCAAUCUCUCCCUAUCUAUUAAAUACAUAACAAAAGGAACCACCAACUCCAAAGAACUCAAGUCCUCAAAAACCAUACUAGGUAGUCAAAGCAAGCAGAAAGUGGAAGCCUAAAAGAGAGAAGGGGUGAAGGAGGAGAAGAAGAGACACGAGGAGGAGGCAAAGGGGCUCCUCCCACAGACCUCUUGGUAUGUUUUCCCUCAAGAGCCCAUCUAAGCCUUAUGCUCAAGGCCACCUGCAGCCCAGCUCAUCCUUCUGAACCUACCAGGCGGCGCCGAUCAACAACAUCUAAUUUUAGAUAGGAUACUCUCAAUGUACUUUUGGGAGUCAACAUCUAAUUUUAAGCUUCCUUAUAGUCCAAUUUUUUUUUUCCAGGUUAUGCAAGGGAGAAGUACUUUUGGUGGUGAAAGGUCGAUCUUACAAUUUUAUACUCAGAAAUCACCGCUAUCUAAUGUACUCGAGAAUGAAAGAUGCCACGGUUGUCAUGAUUCAGAUUCUAAUCGUUGUUUCAUUCAUCAUCUUCAACGUGUGGUUCACCGUGACCUCAAGCUAGAGUUAUCAAGUUGUGGAGAGUCUGAGGUUAGGCAUGGAACCCAAGCUUGCUGCCAAGGAUGCAAUGUCGCGGUUUGCGAAAAAAUAUCCAGAUUUUGUUGGAGCUGUCUUUGCUGUUGACAAGAAUGGCUUGCAUGCAGGAGCUUGCCAUGGAUGGACCUUCCAAUACUCUGUGACAAGCCCAGACAUGGAGUAUGUGCAAGUAUUCACUGUUCUUCCUUGACAUUGCAAUAAAAAAAGGCUUAAUGAUGCUUCCACUGUUCCAAAUCUGAAGCUUUACUUCAAUUACAUUCAUUUUACCUUUCCAGAUUUUCGGUUACAUAAGCAUUCAAGCUUGUAAGUUCUCUUUGGCAUUGUUCCUUCGCACGCUUGGAAUUUCAAACCGUAUUCUAUUGGAUAUUUUAUUUUGAUAAGAUAUUAUGUGGGAUGUUAAUAGACCAA